ACAAAAAUUGAAAUUAUGAUUAAUAAAAUACUUGACCAACAUGCUGAAUUGAAUGGACUCCACUAGUCAUAUCCACAAAAAUUCAAGAAGUGGACUAAAACAUUCGACUGCUACCCUUUCAAUAUCAUCCUUAUAAAAAAGAUCAGACAAGAAGAGUAAUAAAACAUAGACUCAGAAACGGUAAAAACUAAAAUCAAUAUUGUCUUUGAUUGAAGCUAUCCGAUGUAUACAAGAGGCCACUAGAGUAGGGCCUAAAUUUAGUACAAAAUUUUGCUAAAAAUCCUUUUCUUUUUACAAUCUACUGCUCUGUACAAUCCACUACCAAGAAGGGGGAAGACAAAAGAAGAAAAAAGACUAUAGACAAAAACCCAUAUAACCCAAUUUUGUUGAAAGGGUAGUGUGGAGUUAAAUUAAUAUAAUUCAAUCAUGCCAACAAAGGAGCAUGACCACACAUCUCUUGAUUAUGUAAAGCCUGGCCUUUUGCUGCCUAAGGACUCCUCCGAGCCCUCUGCUUGAAAUUAGCUUCCUCUUUGAGCUUCCCAAAUUGCUGCUGCUCAUCUUCAUAUUUUACUUGAAGGCUGUCUGUAUAGGAAUUCUUUGUAUACAAAACGAGAGAACUUUGAUUCAGUUGUUGGUUUUGUGCAAAAAAUAUAUUGAAGAGACAAGUUUGAAUGGGGAAAGUGCAAGUCCAAGAAGAGUUACUUAUAGGCUGUUGAUAGAGUGUAUGGUCCGUCCUAACUUGUAUUGGUCGAGUCAACAACAAAUAUGGGUCCCAC
rnacentral:lncRNA from 1 species